GGGGAGAUGAACGUUUUCUGCAUCCCGGCUUUGUUCCUCGGUCGCGCACGCCGGCGGACCGAAACGUCGGUAGUAGUGAUUCGUCGCCACCGCCGUCGCCUCCCUCUCGUGGUGCCGUCGCCGUCGCCGCUGCCGGUCGGGGUGUCGGACGCGCGAGUGUUGGCUGGUGUUGUCGACCCGAUAGUGUCUGUAUUCCCGUGAAUGCGCGUCGCGUCGUGGCUGCUGGUAAUAGGAACGAAUGAAAUGGAGCUACGGCGCGAAAAGUAGGAAUGCUCGAUCGAGGCUCGAGCCGGACGACUGGACGACAUCGCUUUGAGAGAAGCAUAGAGGAGCAGCAACUGUGAUUAACGUUUCAUGCCGAUAUUAGGAGCUUCUAUAGACACGUUGAUUGAUACAUAUGUAUAUAUAUAUUGAUAUCUAUAUAUAUAUACGCAUACAUGUUCCAUAUAUUUUUGGAUUGGCUGUUGAAGCAAGAGUGCAACCUAAUUCUAACGGAGAGUUCGUUUAUGAAAUGGAUAGCUAUAGAUCCUCUCUUCUGUGUCAAAACUUUUUGUAUCGAAAUUUUUGAAUUUUCGCUGUCGAAUAUUUAUCACACAUGCUAUUUCACAUUGUAAAAAAUUGCGAAAAAAAUUAUUAUACG